UAGCUUUUGUUCUAAGUCAAACUUCUCAAAUUUUGACCAAGUUUAUAGGGAAAUACAUCAACAUGUACAAAAACAAAUAAAUGCACUAUCAACACUCACAAUAGAUUUAACGAAACUAAUUUGAUAUUGUAGAUGUUGAUGCAUUUUUCUAUAAACUCGGUCAAAGUUGGAGAAGCUUGACUUAUGACAAAACCUAA
rnacentral:pre_miRNA from 1 species